AGUCAUCACGCCCCUAAUUAGGGGGCUUUAUAUUGUUGAGCUCUAGGAGCCGAUCAAUCAUUGAAUGUUUUGUCCUUCCGGUGAGAUGUAGGAGGAUAAAGUUGACUCCAAAAAAUAUUUUCGGAAGGAAUUGAAGCUUUGGAGCUCUGAGGAAGAAUGAUCGAAAUGGGUUUGAAAAUUUCCCGGGCCAGCCCAUCAGCUCUGUCGUAUACAGAUACUCUGCACAGAUCUGCUCACUAGCAAUUAUAUUACACCUUCGUUCUCAACAUUCCUGCACUUUAUCUCAAAACAACAAGCUCCUCUUAUUUCUAUUUAUCACCUGGAACUCAAGGACUUGUUAUCUCAAUGCAAUGUUUGCAAUUGUUAUUUUAGUUAUGUUAGAAUUCAGGUGAUUUGUGACUCUUGUGAUUUACACAAGUAGAUCUAUGUGAUUAACACAUGAAAAUUAUAUGAGGUCAUGUGAUUGUAUAUAUUCAAAUAAUUAUGGAUAUUUAUUCAA